AAGCAUUAUACCCAAUCAUUUUAAACCUUUGCAGGACUGGCAGCUUCUUCUUAACAGCUCUAUUGCAAGGCACUCUACAUCCAAACUGCAGUGUGGAAAAUUUAAAGUGCAGGGAGCUAGCUGGUGUACUAGGAGGAAGAUGUCAUGCUAAGGAUGGGUUUUGGUGAUGAUGUUGCUACUGUUGAUGCAGCAUCGAGCUCUCACUUUGUGCCUCUGUCAGCUAUGAUCCGUAACCACAAAGUGAGUGACAGGCCAGUCCCUGGGGAAAGCAAGGGGGCCUGAGCAGCAAUCAAAGACAAGAGUUCAUCCAAAGCCGUAGUCAGUGUUACACCAG
ensembl:lncRNA